rnacentral:rRNA from 1 species
CCUACGGGAGGCAGCAGUGGGGAAUAUUGGACAUUGGGCGAAAGCCUGAUCCAGCCAUGCCGCGUGUGUGAAGAAGGUCUUCGGAUUGUAAAGCACUUUAAGUUGGGAGGAAGGGUUGUAGAUUAAUACUCUGCAAUAUUGACGUUACCGACAGAAUAAGCGCCGGCUAACUCUGUGCCAG